rnacentral:rRNA from 1 species
GACGAACGCUGGCGGCGUGCUUAACACAUGCAAGUCGAACGGGUCUGCCCUGUUUUUUGCGGGGUGGGUCAGUGGCGAACGGGUGAGUAACACGUGAGUAACCUGCCCCUCACUUCUGGAUAACCGCUUGAAGGGGUGGCUAAUACGGGGUGUUCUGGCUGUGCCGCAUGGUGUGGCUGGGAAAGAUUCACUUUUGUGGUGUUUUGGUGGGGGAUGGGCUCGCGGCCUAUCAGCUUGUUGGUGGGGUGAUGGCCUGCCAAGGCUUUGACGGGUAGCCGGCCUGAGAGGGUGGGCGGUCACACUGGGACUGAGAUACGGCCCAGACUCCUGCGGGAGGCAGCAGUGGGGGGUAUUGCACAAUGGGCGGAAGCCUGAUGCAGCGACGUCGCGUGAGGGAUGGAGGCCUUCGGGUUGUGAACCUCUUUCGCCGGUGAAGAAGGUCCUGCUCUUUGUGGUGGGGUUGACGGUAGCCGGGUUAUGAAGCGCCGGCUAACUACGUG